UGGUUGAGUCUCACAUUGUAAGAUGACAUUGUCAUCGCUUCUCGGCCUUUUGGCUAAGAUCAAGUGUAGUAAGAUGACAUCGUCAAGAAAAGUC
rnacentral:miRNA from 14 species